rnacentral:rRNA from 1 species
GAUGAACGCUAGCGGCAGGCUUAACACAUGCAAGUCGAGGGGCAGCAGGGGUAGCAAUACUCGCUGGCGACCGGCAAACGGGUGCGGAACACGUACACAAUCUACCUUUAUCUGGGGUAUAGCCCGAAGAAAUUCGGAUUAAUCCCCCAUAAGAUAUUAGAGUGGCAUCACUUCGAUAUUAAAACUCCGGUGGAUAAAGAUGAGUGUGCGUCCCAUUAGCUAGUUGGUAGGGUAACGGCCUACCAAGGCAACGAUGGGUAGCUGGUGUGAGAGGACGACCCGCCACACGGGCACUGAGGCACGGGCCCGACUCCUACGGGAGGCAGCAGUGAGGAAUAUUGGUCAAUGGACGCAAGUCUGAACCAGCCAUGCCGCGUGAAGGAUGAAGGCCUUCUGGGUUGUAAACUUCUUUUAUUGGGGAAGAAAAUUACGGUUUCUACUGUAACCGACGGUACCCAAGGAAUAAGCACCGGCUAACUCCGUGCCAGCCGCCGCCGUAAAAC